rnacentral:hammerhead_ribozyme from 2 species
AUGCGAAACAGGGCGGCCCUGCCGCCUUGUCUGCCCGGCGUGGUGGCCGGGUACUGAUGAGUAGCCGGAG